UUAAUACUCUCCCUGUCUCAAAAAUUUUGUCUUAAAUUUGUCUAGAUACGGAUGUAUCUAACACUAAAACGUAACUAGAUACAUUCGUAUUUAGACAAAUCUAAGACAAAAAAUUUGGGACGGAGGGAGUAUAAG
rfam:Triticum aestivum genome assembly, contig: Triticum_aestivum_CS42_TGACv1_scaffold_250337_3DL